rnacentral:sRNA from 1 species
GUGCUGCUCCGCCGCCAAAGCUCGCGCGGGGGAAGCGGGGCUGUAGCUGGGCAGGGAGAGGGCGGACGAAAUCGGCAGCGAUCUCGGCUGCGGCGCUGCCGCAGCUGCCCGACCCGCGGGGCGCGCCCUGACCCUUCCUCUUUGGGCAGGCUCCAGGGCGCGCGCACGGUCGGCGUUCCGGGGCCUCAAACUCCUGGGCCUUGACCGGGCAGGCCGCGUCUCCCCGGGUGUGAGUCCACCGGGACCCGGCCGCCGCCUAAGCGCUGGCGCCACAGAAGCGGCGGCGCCCGAAGACGCGCUCCUGGCUCGGCCCGACAGCCUCGCUUGGCCGCCAGUUCUUCUGCAGCCGAAGGCGGUUGUUCUUUUAAAGAAAUUUUGAAGACGAAGGUUUUUUUCUUUUUUUUAAUGGCUUUACAGAAUCUUAAAUAGAAUACAGUUUGACAUGACGGCAAAAAAUGUUGGUUUGACUUCCACAAAUGCAGAAGUAAGAGGAUUUAUAGAUCAGAAUCUCAGUCCAACAAAAGAUUAUAAGCACACCACAGAGACUAACCAGUUCAGGAAGUGUUCUGA